GCGGUGCGUGUCAAAUAUUUGCGAAUAGUUAUGUGAAUGUUUAUGAAUAAUGAUGCUGCGGAAGGCCAGUGGAAACACCUGGUUUAUGCGGGGACGCCAAAGGCGGUAAACGCGGCGGGACCCGAGGAGGCUCAUGGCUGGUGACAGUCGAGUCCUUCGAAUCAUGACAGGAUAGAUACGUUUGGCGCGGAUUAAUUCUGAUAUUCCUAACAAGCAGUUAUAAGAAAACAUCAGCUCGUAAUUAUUGUAUACCAUUUGCUUACACCUGAAGGCAGACAACCGUGAUGGAGGCAAAGGACCAGUGCACAAUGCGGAAAUGCAGAAAACCUCU